rnacentral:lncRNA from 10 species
UGGGGGGUCAGCCCCCCGCCUGGCCAGCCGCCCCGUCCGGGAGGUGAGGGGCGCCUCUGCCCGGCCGCCCCUACUGGGAAGUGAGGAGCCCCUCUGCCCGGCCAGUCGCCCCGUCCAGGAGGGAGGUGGGGGUUCAACCCCCCGCCCGGCCAGCCGCCCAGUCCGGGAGGGAGGUGGGGGGUCAGCCCCCCGCCUGGCCAGCCGCCCCGUCCAGGAGGUGAGGGGCGCCUCUGCCCGGCCGCCCCUACUGGGAAGUGAGGAGCCCCUCUGCCCGGCCAGCCGCCCCGCCCAGGAGGGAGGUGGGGGGGUCAGCCCCCCGCCCGGCCAGCCGCCCCGUCCGGGAGGGGGGAGGGGGGGUCAGCCCCCUGCCCGGCCAGCCGCCCCGUCCGGGAGGGAGGUGGGGGGGGUCAGCCCCCCGCCCGGCCAGCCGCCCCGUCCGGGAGGGAGGUGGGGGGAUCAGCCCCCUGCCUGGCCAGCCGCCCCGUCCGGGAGGUGAGGGGCGCCUCUGCCCGGCCGCCCCUACUGGGAAGUGAGGAGCCCCUCUGCCCGGCCAGCCGCCCCGUCCGGGAGGGAGGUGGGGGGGUCAGCCCCCCUUCCGGCCGGCUGCCCCGUCCGGGAGGUGAGGGGCGCCUCUGCCGGGCCGCCCCUACUGGGAAGUGAGGACCCCUCUGCCCGGCCAGCCGCCCCAUCCGGGAGGGAGGUGGGGGGAACAGCCCCCCGCCCGGCCAGCCGCCCUAUCCAGGAGGUGAGGGGCGCCUCUGCCCGGCCGCCCCUACUGGGAAGUGAGGAGCCCCUCUGCCUGGCCAGCCGCCCCGUCCGGGAGGGCGGUGGGGGGGUCAGCCCCCCGCCCGGCCAGCCGCCCCAUCUGGGAGGUGAGGGGCGCUUCUGCCGGGCCGCCCCUACUGGGAAGUGAGGAGCCCCUCUGCCCGGCCACGACCCCGUCUGGGAGGUGUGCCCAGCGGCUCAUUGGGGAUGGGCCAUGAUGACAAUGGCGGUUUUGUGGAAUAGAAAGGCGGGAAGGGUGGGGAAAAAAUUGAGAAAUCGGAUGGUUGC